rnacentral:rRNA from 1 species
CUAAGAAUAUUCCGCAAUGGACGGAAGUCUGACGGAGCGACGCCGCGUGGAUGACGAAGGCCGAAAGGUUGUAAAGUUCUUUUGCUGGGGAAGAAUAACCGCAGGAGGGAAUGCCUGUGGGAUGACAAGAACCGGCGAAUAAGCCCCGGCCAACUACGUGCCAGCAGCCGCGGUAACACGUAGGGGGCGAGCGUUGUUCGGAAUUACUGGGCGUAAAGGGCAUGUAGGCGGCUUGGAAAGCCUGGCGUGAAAGUCUGCAGCUUAACUGCAGGGGUGCGCUGGGAACUGCUGAGCUUGAGUGACGGAGAGGGAGCUGGAAUUCCUGGUGUAGGGGUGAAAUCUGUAGAUAUCAGGAAGAACACCGAUGGCGAAGGCAAGCUCCUGGCCGAUGACUGACGCUGAGGUGCGAAAGUGUGGGGAUCAAACAGGAUUAGAUACCCUGGUAGUCCACACAGUCAACGAUGUGCACUAGGUGCUGGGGCGGUAGCUUCGGUGCCGGAGCGAACGUGGUAAGUGCACCGCCUGGGGAGUAUGCUCGCAAGGGUGAAACUCAAAGGAAUUGACGGGGGUCAUA